UGGGGAAUAUUGCACAAUGGGCGCAAGCCUGAUGCAGCAACGCCGCGUGAACGAUGAAGGUCUUCGGAUCGUAAAGUUCUGUUGCAGGGGAAGAUAAUGACGGUACCCUGUGAGGAAGCCCCGGCUAACUACGUGCCAGCAGCCGCGGUAAUACGUAGGGGGCUAGCGUUAUCCGGAUUUACUGGGCGUAAAGGGUGCGUAGGUGGUCUUUCAAGUCGGUGGUUAAAGGCUACGGCUCAACCGUAGUUAGCCUCCGAAACUGGAAGUCUUGAGUGCAGGAGAGGAAAGUGGAAUUCCCAGUGUAGCUGUGAAAUGCGUAGAUAUUGGGAGGAACACCAGUAGCGAAGGCGGCUUUCUGGACUGCAACUGACACUGAGGCACGAAAGCGUGGGUAGCAAACAGG
rnacentral:rRNA from 1 species